UUUAGCUAAAUAUUUAAGUAAAUAUUAAAUUCUUAACAACAUUUAACAUUUAGCUAAAUAUUUAACUAAAUCUUAAAUCUCUUAUCAAGAUUUAACAUUUAGCUAAAUAUUUAACUGGCCAGCUAAAUCUGGAGUUUGUAUGCAAAUGAGCUCCGCCCACUUUGUGACGUCAACAUUCUUAAGAAGGGCGGGCAACUGUCCACGGACUUCGGUUAGGCUCACGUUCAGAACGUCAUGGCGGAUUCCAGUAACUUGCAUGUAAUUAUCGAGCGCGCAGUUGCUGCUGGUGUAAGGGCCGCGCUACAGGCUGGAACAGCCAGCGGUGCUCAACCACCAGAAACUGAGGGACGGGUACGGAUGUCAUCCGUGGGACUACGACAGUCGCAUUCGGUUCCACUCCCUUCUUUUCAACCCUUGGGAAGAGCCAACUUUCAUCGUGGGAAUUUUCGCAGAAGACACAAAUUUUACACCAAGGAUGUUGUGUGUUUACCAUUCCAUUCAGGGUCUUCAUUCACAAUACCCAGAGGGGAAAAUAGAGCUCGACUAGCUGAAUGUGGCCUUAUUGGCAAGAUUUCCUUUAGUAAUGAAUGGUCAGAAGGGCAAAUGAGAGGAGAUCGGCACCCUUUUUAAAACCAAAUUUAAUGUAGCAGAACACGAAACGUUCUCGUUCGAAUAUUUAAGUACAGUAAGAGGGUCAAAAAAACUCACUAAACCAAAUGUAUCGCAGCAUUUCCUCUGGGGAGGGGAAGAGGUUGCAACCCUUUGCUCUAACUCUUGUCUGUACAUUUUGGAUGGAAUACAGAGACCUGCUCAGGUAAACUCUUCCUAAUUACUUCCUAAUAGUCUUAAAUGGUCUAUCCAAAAUGUUUUAUAUAUUUAAUUUCAGUGUUGAAAAAAUGUGUACAAUACGUGUGUAUAUAUAAAUACAGUGCCGUGAAAGUAUUUGCCUCCUGUCUGAUUUUCUGCAUUUUUGCAUAUUUUUGACACUGAAUGUUAUCAGAUCUUCAACCAAAACCUAAUAUUAGAUAAAAGGGACCCUGAGUGAACAAAUAACACAAAUUGGAUACAUAUUUCAUUUAUUAAAGAAAGUUAUGCAACACCCAAUGCCCCAGUGUGAAAAAGUAAUCACCCCCGUAGACUCAAUAACUGAUUAUGCCGCCUUUAGCAGCAAUAACUGCAACCAAACGCUUCCUGUAGUUAUUGAUUAGUCUCACAGCGCCGUGGAGGAAUUUUGGCCCACUCCUCCAUGCAGAACUGCUUCAACUCAGUGACAUUUGUGGAUUUUUGAGCAUGAACUGCUCGUUUCAGGUCCUGCUACAACAUCUCAAUGGGGUUUAGGUCUGGACUUUGACUAGGCCAUUCCAAAACUUUAAAUUUCUUGUUCUUCAACCAUUCUAAUGUAGACUUGCUUGUGUGUUUCGGAUCAUUGUCUUGCAGCAUGACCCAGCUGCGCUUCAGCUUCAGCUCACGGACGGAUGGCCUGACUCCUGUAAAUUCUCUGAUACAGAGCAGAAUUCAUGGUUCCUUCAAUGAUGGCAAGGUGUCCAGGUCCAGAUGCAGCAAAGCAUCCCCAAACCAUGACACUACCACCACCAUGCUUGACAGUUGGUAUGAGGUUCUUACUGUGGAAUGCAGUGUUUGGUUUUCACCAGACAUAACAGGGCCCAUGUCGGCCAGAAAGUUCCACUUUUGACUCAUCUGUCCAUAGAACAUUGUUCCAGAACUCUUGAUCAUCCAGGUGCUUUUUGGCAAACUUGAGACGAGCAUUCAUGUUGUUCUUAGUGAGCAAUGGUUUCCGCCUUGCUAUUUUGCUAUGAAUCUCAUUUUAACCCAGUGUCUUUCUGAUGAUGGAGUCAUUAACACUGACCUUAGCCGAGGCGAGAGGCCUGCAGAUCCCUGGAUGUGGUUCUAGGGUUCUUUGUGACUUCCUGGACAAUUUUACGCCUUGCUCUUGGAGAGAUUUUGGCAGGAUUGCCACUCUUGGGAAGAUUCACUACUGUCCCAAACACUCCAUUUGGACAAUAUGGCUCUGACCGUGGUUCGGUGGAGCCCCAGAGCCUUAGAAAUGGCUUUGUAACCCUUUCCAGACUGAUAGGCAUCAACAACUUUUUUUCCGGAGGUCUUCAGGAAUUUCUUUUGUUUGUGGCAUGAAAAAUAGCUAUGACAUUUAGGUGUCCGCUAUAUCUCAAAGCUGAUUGGGACACAAUUGUUUCUGUUGUUGCAUAAUGGGUUAAUAAAUGUUUUUGUCAUACCAAAUAUUUUAAUUAAAAUACCAGUUACAUUUUAAAGCUUUUUUUUUUUUUCAGUAUGACAAUUCACAAAUGUCAGAUGAUAGUGAUUUUGAAAGGUCUCCACAACUAAGGAGGAGGAGGAGAUCAGCGCCAGAGCAGUGACUUGCCAGGAACAAGUGAAGCUGCAAGUACUUUGGCACUCACUGAAAACUUAAAUCCAGAGAGUCAGAAUGAGGUGGAAUCCAUAUCCAGAUGAUGGACAGAUAGGGGCAGUUACUAAUAUGGAAAGACAGGAAGCACUGGAGUCAGCUGAACUUCUGGCAGUUGAUUCAUAUAUUCCUAUUGAAUUUGCAGACUUUGUUCCUGUGGUCCUGGAAGAGCAAGCAGUCGAAGAAGCUAUUCAGCAGGAAGAUUCUCAGGAUGGCAUAUUUGAACCAAGAGUCACCCAAUGGAUUUGUGCCUCAGAUGCAUGUAUCAUGGGUUUCAAGUGGAUUAUUUCACACGAUUGGCCAGAUGAUGUCCACAGACCUUGUGCAAGGUGGUGAACCACCUGCAUUUCUGGCUAGAUGCGUUGUUGACUACAUCCUAACUGGUGAUGUGAUGAAAGUUUGUGUCAACACUGAUGAUAUUCCUGAUACACUCCUCAGGGAAUCAUUGAAAAAGGUGUUGUAUUGAACAAUCAACUGAUGACUCUGAAUUGGAGGAAGUUUUACAGUUGUGUGACUCAUGGCGUUUUACAGUGCCAAACCCUGUGACAAUGACAAACCGGCUUCAAUUUGUGAGAAUUGCAACUUUGUACACAGUGAUCCUACAACGGCAGAGUUGUCUUAAUCAGAUAAUGGAUGGAUUGGCCUACUAUGAGGUGCUCCAGCUUCUGAGGAAGAAACCGUGUAUGCGGUCUCUUUUGGAUGGACAGAGUGCAGACAGUGGUGCAAUUACUGCAGAAAGUGUAAUAAACCUGCUCAAACCCAGCUACUCUGUGCUUGGGAGCAACAGAAGACAGAGAGAAGAAAUCCUAGUAGUGAAGUUUAGGGAUAUUCUCCACAGUAUCCAGGGUGAGUAUAAAACCCAAAUUAUUUUUAAAAAUCACCCCUGGGGUUGACCUUCCCCUGGAAAUACCCAUAUAUUCAUUUCAUACAGCAACUACUUAUCCCAGAGCUCCAGAGACAGCAUUGUUGAGACCAAAAAACAGGAUUUAAUGUGUGCUCACUUUAUUAAAUCAUGUACACACCGCUUAUUAAUAAUUAAUUGUGGGAGCUUUUUACUUACUGGUUGUUACUAAUAAUUAUUUCUUAUGGUACAGUACUCUCUACCUGAAUAUAUGUGACCACAAACUCAUUUAGUAGUUAAGGGAACUGAAGAAGCAGAACAACAGGAGUGUACAGCUCAUUGUAGUGUAGGGUAGGUCAGUUUAGACCACUGAUCUAAUAAUUAACCAGUGAUAUGUCGCACGCCGCCUUCAUGUGGCCAUGGACCAGUGCAGGAAGGCCAGUCAUUGGACAGAAAUCUGAGUCCACUUCCACAAGUUGCAGAGCAGAAGUGCGGUUGUUUAUUGUGCAAAAAUAAUAAUGAAGGUGCAAUUCAAAAAUAAUUAAUUAGAUUAACAAAACAAACAACCAAAAAAAAAACCCAGUUAUCUUUAGCAGCUGAUAUUAUAGAUCUUGGAAACAAGACAUAUUGUCCCUGUUGAGCUUUGCUCUACUUGGCUCCCUUACGGACUUCCAGCAACCUCACUCACUCUCUCCAUUCCCCACACACUCCUUUUAUACCCUAGGCCCCUCCCCUUUUCCUCUGAAUGCUGGGAGGUCCCUACCAUAAAAGCCAUCGCACACUAGACUGACCCGAUAAGACACUGACACGAUUUCGUUGUGAUUUUGGAUUUUGCUCGUCUGUGGGUUUUCAACAAGUUUGAACAUUUUUACCCCAUCGUGAACGUAUCAUGUCGGUUUCCUCUCGCGUCGAUACAGUGUGCUAGGCAUGGCGACAGAUUAAAGAUGCAAUGGGUCACUGAUGCAUACAACUGACAAAUGAGGGUGGUAGCUGGAAUCAUAGGCUGUGGAUUCCUGGUGAACCUUGGAACAGAUAAAGAGCUUGGUGACAGGCUGAAGGACAGGGAAUUGACAGAAGCAGAAAAGGACUUUGUGAAUGCUUUACGACUGGGUCACAUCUUGGCAUUUGCGACAGGAAGUAGCACCAUUCCAGCUAUGGGAUUCAAUCCAAAUCCCAAACUAAGUUUCAGUCAUGAUGAGGCAAAAGUGCACCCCAUCGCUCACACGUGUGCCAAUGAGCUGCAACUUUUUGUCAAUAACAGAACUCUGGCUAACAAUGAUGAGUUUGAGUAUAUUAUUUUAGCUGCCCUAAUGAAUGGGGCUGUGUUCAGCACAGUGUAACAUGUACAGGACAAGUAGACCACUAUGAAAGAGCAGCCCACCUGUACAUCUUGUAGGUAAAUUAAACAUACCAAAGCUAACUUUCUUCCUAAUCUAUUAAUUGCAGAUAAACUAGUUGGUAAAUAAAUAUUUCAUUACAAAUUAAGCCAUAAUCUACCCCUACAGUAACCCUUCAAAAUAAUACUAGUCAAUUAACAUGGAGAGAACUGUUGGAAAGCAAAAUGUAACUACUACAGCCUCUCAUUAGGGGCUUUUCAUGGCAAAAAGUGUAUGUGUGAAACUUUUAGUCAUACACUUAAUCAUUCACCACUUGUUAAUAAAUAACCAAGGAGUGUUGUGUGUGUGUUUUUUUUCUUUUAACUCUUCUGCACUAAUUGCACAUGCAAAGCUCUUGGGCUGUGUUUAAAGGUGAUCCUUUUCAAUGGCAGUGUAGAUGCAACACCACUGAUCGUUAUCAAUUGCACCGAUGCAUUUGAUCACAAUCAGAAAUGUCAGUGUAAACGCACCUAUUGAAUUUGAGUUUAUUAUAGGCUAAUUUCAAUAUUAAUUUUUUUAAUUUAUACAAUUUGACCAAUAAUAAGGACAUGGGUGAAGCGCAUUUAAAUAAAAGUAAAAUGCAAAUGCUUUAAUGCCAAACUAAAUACUAGAAUUGUCCCAGAGUGGUGAGUAAGUUUG